rnacentral:sRNA from 1 species
GCCAGGUGCAGUAGGGUAUGCCUGUAAUCCCAACUACUCAGGAGGCAGAGGCAGGAGAAUUCCAAGUUCAAGGUCAAUCUGUGUAAACUUAGGGAGAUCCUAUCUCAA